UUUGCUAACAGGAGGAAGCUGACUUCAUGUCAAUGACUCCUGGAGAAUAAACAGGAGGAGAGUCCCACACUUGUAAGAGAUUGCUGCCUUUCCCCCAGAAGUGCUGAUUUCACUCGGUACACGCAGACAAGCCAGAUUCAAGAAGUUGGACUCAAACCUUGAGACACCGGAGCCUUGACAGAGCCUACAGAGACCCUUUCUGUUAAGAAACUGUUUUUUUGGGGGGGUAGUCCUCAUGAAGAAGCAGGGAUCUCUGGGAACUUUGGUGUCCUGGAUCCAUACCAGAUUUUCUUCAGUAAGAGGAAGAGGAACUCUAGGGUCCUCUGUGGCCAGAGCGGGAGCUGCAGAGUCUCCGUGGGACUCUACAAUGGGAGUGUGGAGGUCUUCUGUGGAGAAAAUUGGAGCUGCCGGGUCCCUUUUAGUUACAAUGACUAUGGUCCAUUGUAACUGCCCUCUUUUCUAGAGGCCACAGAUCAGCGAUUUUCUGAGGAACUCAGGUUGGACUUUGGCCCACAAGUCUUACAUCCUCCAUUCUGUGACACUGAGUAGAAGGUGGCCCUUGGUGCACUGCAGCAGUGGUCUGGAGCUCUGCCCAGAGGAUUUUUAAAUGAAUCUGAAGUUGUCUACCCAAAUCAAGACGCGCUGGGGGCAAAAGAGUUCUACACUGACCACAUUGCCUCCGUUGCACCCAGGCUCCAAGCCACCCAGGAAGGAAGCCAGCUGCUCGGUGACUCAGUAAGGGUUGCUUUUUUUUUUCCUGGAGCACUGACUACCAAAGACUGGCUCAGAGGACCUUUCGUCUGAAUGGCCAAAGCGUCGUUGAGCUCAACUUGUGAUAACUCCGCCAUUGAGAGAAGAAGCUUGCCCAAGAACUGCUUGUGAGGUUCCUGUGACAGCUUGCUGCUUCCACAGCCUCACCUCACAGUUGGCGAGCCUGGAAAUCUCUUGAGGAUUGAACUAUAUAUAGUUGCCAGUUCGUGCCUGGUGUCUGCCUGCCUAGAGGACUGGUCUGCAGCUGCUGAAUCAUAUUUGAUGUUUGCUAUGGGACUGCUAACUAACUGCUUCCCAAGAAGAUCAAGCUUGCCCCCAAAGAACUAUCUAUGGCUGAACAGGUCCACUCCUCCCCCCCCCCCAUUGUAAUAACUUUUCUCUUCCACUACCUCUCCUGGGUGGUGGGCUGGAGAAGAGGU